AAUACACAGUACUACACAUCAGGGUUUCCCCUGGGUCAAUUAUUGUUUUCGCCACCUCUUUCGCCAAAACAAUAUAUUUUUCGCCACUUUAUUAUUUUUUUCGCCAAGUAACACAAAUAUAUAUUUCUUAUAAAAUUUUCCUUUUUUUCCAGCACCCCCCCUCCCUCACCGCCCAAAUAAGAAUUGUUUUUUACAACAAAAUGAAGCAUCUUAUCACUUGGAAUUGAUCCCUCGUGUAAGGUGUAGUCAUUACAUUGAAGGGUUACUCUCAUGCCAACCUUUUGGAUAGAUUUCAUAACGACAGUUUUCUUUUCUAGACCAUCGUAAAUAAGUAAAACUUUAUGCUUGAAACAUGUGUGUAACUGAAACGACUUUAAAGUACCCACUCAAAUCAAUGAUCUAUAUGAAAGUUAAAUGAUAAAGUUUUACAUCAGAGACCUUUCUUGCUUUGAAUAUUUUUCGUCAUAACAACAAUUUUCUUUUCUGGACUAUAAUUAAAAGAAGGAGAAGAAGCGUAAAAAUUUUGCUUCAAACACGUGCGUUGCAAAGUUGUUAAUAAAUCCCUUUUGUGACAUGUGACAGAAGCCAUUUAACCAUAAUUUCAUUUUGUAAUAUCAUACAAUCAACACCUUUAUUAAUUAGUCCUUUGAUGUCGAUAGCUUUGAAUGCAAUCAGCUGAUUAUUGAUUUUCUGUCAAAAUCUUAACGAGUUCAAGGUGAAUUCCGAGUCUGAUCGGUAAAGUCAGAGAAACCGUAAAAAGUAAAUAAACAAGAUGGCUGAAAAUAAAUCGUUUUAUAUAUUUCAUUCGCCAAAUUCUUUCGCCAAUGACGAAUUUUAAUCGCCACAAUUAUUAUUUUUUCGCAAAUGGCGAAAAUGGCGACCGCCAGCGGAAACCCUGC
rnacentral:lncRNA from 1 species